ACAUGCAGGUGAUCGCCGUUGAAAGACGGUUUCCUCUUCGGAGGCACCUGCACAGGUGCUGCAUGGCUGUCGUCAGCUCGUGUCGUGAGAUGUUGGGUUAAGUCCCGCAACGAGCGCAACCCUUAUCCCUAGUUGCCAUCAGGUAAAGCUGGGAACUCUGGGGAGACUGCCGGUGAUAAACCGGAGGAAGGCGGGGAUGACGUCAAGUCCUCAUGGCCCUUACAUCCCGGGCUACACACGUGCUACAAUGGCAGGUACAGAGGGCUGCGAAGCCGCGAGGUGGAGCGAAUCCCAGAAAACCUGUCUCAGUCCGGAUUGAAGUCUGCAACUCGACUUCAUGAAGGCGGAAUCGCUAGUAACCGCGAAUCAGCAGGUCGCGGUGAAUACGUUCCCGGGCCUU
rnacentral:rRNA from 1 species